ensembl:lncRNA
GGGGAUACAUAUGACUCCUCCAUUGUCCAUCCUCUGCAGGAAAACCCUCUGUGGAAAGGGUGCUGGAUCCAGUUAUCUUACUGCUGUUAUGAUCCCAGCAGUCUUCAGAGUGUCAUCGUAUGCACAGUACAGUGACACAGCAUUGGAUGAUGUUCACAGGAAACUGCUGUCAUCACCACCAUAGCUUCUGGUUCCUGUGCUUUUCACAGAAUCAUGAUGCCAUCCUUGGACUCCCCCUGCGCUGUCGGUGGAGCUUGGCACGCUCCCCUCAUCCUUCAGGUGCCCGUCUGUUGUCCACAAUCUCCUCUGUUGGCCUCUGGAAAGCCCCUUGGCACAGCUCUCAUCCUUCGCAGCAACCGUGGUCCUUGCUGUGGCUCCGACGUCUGAUCUCAUGAUGGGCCCCAAACAGCUCGACCUUUGACCUCAACCACUGCCCGGACUGUCAGCUAUGCCUGGAAUGGGUUGCUUCUCACUGGGCCUCAGAAGAUUUCUCAGGAGAUUCCUUUCAGCAAUACUCUGACUGCUGCACCUGUAUUUCCUUGCUAGGAGGAAAAACUCCUAUUUUGAAAGCAUGUAAAGCAUCAUCAAACCACAUUCUUUAGUUCAGUGAGCUUCAUUUAUGGACCAUCAAAGCCUCAUCUGAACACAGAUGCACCACUUGCAUAGGUUUAAUACCCGUCUGAACUGUUAAUCACAAAGAUCACACAAAAAUCAUAAAAACAUAGUUCAGAAAACAUGGAAAACAUAGUUUCAUGUAACUCUGUAAUUCUGGACCCCUCCUCUUGACGCAUGGACACUCCCAUGAGUCAACUCAUCAAACCUAGAUUUCUGUCUAAAAGAAAAAGGUUAGCUAGAUCAUGUCCCAGGCAACAUCAGGGCAUCUCCCCCUCUGGAGCAGCACCACCCCGGACCUAUAACCCUGCAAUAAAAGAUGUUAGUGUGUUUUGCAUAAUAAGUUUGCUUCACAUCUGGCUCCGCCUGGAGCCUGCAUACACACCAUCAUGGCCUGGAAAACAAGAUCUGGAAGUAAAAUCAAACUUCACACUUAUAAACAAUUGUAUCAUUAGAGUAAUAAAGCACUCAGCAUCAACAGGACAAGAAUCAUGUGCAGGUUUUCUCAAAUCAGUAAACUACAAUUAUUGCCAUAAUUUGCCUCAGACAUGGAUCAUCCCAUGUACUCAGUUAACAUUAAUGUAAUUGGUGACUUCCCUGAAGCAAAGUCACUCCAUGUAUUUAACACUAGGAGCUCAGUAGUGGCCAGCUAAUGAGCCCCAUAUCAAACUAUUCCACAAACACUGCAUCUCUUAGUUGCUUUCUCAUGUUACUUGUCCGUCUCUGCUGAAUCCUCUACAUGCACUCUUAGACAAACAAACAUUAGCAACACACAUGGACAAUCCUGGUGGUCAGGCACAAAUUGACAGGGUCCAGAGGUGCUAUAAAACGACCAUAAAGACCAUAGCUGUGGACAGAAGUGGCACUAGUUUCAACACAGGGAAUGUUUUACAUGUUAUUCACAUCGUCAAAGUAACCUUUAACAUUUUCCCAACAACACAGUGAAACAGUAAGAGUGGUGCAGAAACCUGUUGUUUCUAUUCAAAAGGUCACUCACUCCUCAACAACACAUAAACUUCACACGCGGUACUAUAAUCCUAUUUUAAUUGACACGUUCUUUAUUUUCAUUCACUCGCGAGAGUGAGAUCCCUUUAUUUUCAUUCACUCGUGAGAGUGAGAUCCCUUUAUUUUCAUUCACUCGUGAGAGUGAGAUCCCUGACUUCCAGCCUUUUAAUUGCGGAACGAGUCCCCCAGGGGACUGCCAGUUCCGUCUUACAGGCGAGUCCUUUCACUCGUAAGAGUGAGAUCCCUGACUUCCAGUCCUUAAAGGACGAGUCUUUUCCCGACUUCCAGUCCCUAAGGGACGAGUCUCUUAAGAACCGUGUCAACCUAAAAACCGAUUUUAGCCGCAAUGUGUUCUUGAGUGUUUAUAUUCACCUGGUUCAGAUGAAAAUGCCGGUCGGAGAGAAUCCUCCUCGCUCCCUGGAAUCGUGGACCUCUUGCUAAAAACGCUGGCCAACGGCGAAUUCACGUAGUUGGUCUUUACUGUUUCACUAGAAACAGGCUGUCGACAGACUUUGUAGCGUGGGUUCACGAAUCCAGGAAACGACGAGGUCACUCUGUUGGAGCACAAGAUUAGUUAAAAUUCAAUGUCCAAUCCGGCUCGGAGGACCAAAUAAAUGUAAAGGGUAAAUAUUUAAACAAGGCGAAAUAAAGACACUCAAAACAGUUUAGAUGGUAACAACGUGCGCACGCUGGGUGAGCGCUGCUGUCUCAGGCUCACAACCAGCGUAUGCGGCAGUUCUUUAUUUAUAGCGUUUCAGAGUAUGUGUGUGUGUGUGUGUGUAUGAUCUCAGAGUGUGUGUGUGUGAUUCUGAAGAAUGGGCCCCUCUUGGUAUUUGGGAGUGUAUAGAUAAGAAUGUCCUGCUCUCCACUUCCUGGGAGUGAAACGGCUCGUAGAGAACCAGGUACAGAGGAGAUGUCCUGGGUAAAUCAUAUCUGAGAACACUAUGCUUUUGUCUUCAGCUUCACUUCUAGUGAAGCAGUAAAAUACGAUUAAGAAGAAAGAAUAAAUGGGUAAACAACUAUUAACACUGAAAUUAAAGAUAAACUUUCAAUAACGUACAAAUGGCAGUGGGAAUAAUACUUGAAACAUUUGAAAAUCUCUUAACAAUUA